rnacentral:rRNA from 1 species
CCUACGGGAGGCAGCAGUGAGGAAUAUUGGUCAAUGGACGAGAGUCUGAACCAGCCAAGUAGCGUGAAGGAUGACUGCCCUAUGGGUUGUAAACUUCUUUUAUAUGGGAAUAAAAUGUUCCACGUGUGGGAUUUUGUAUGUACCAUAUGAAUAAGGAUCGGCGAACUCCGUGCCAGCAGCCGCGGUAAUACGGAGGAUCCGAGCGUUAUCCGGAUUUAUUGGGUUUAAAGGGAGCGUAGGUGGAUUGUUAAGUCAGUUGUGAAAGUUUGCGGCUCAACCGUAAAAUUGCAGUUGAAACUGGCAGUCUUGAGUACAGUAGAGGUGGGCGGAAUUCGUGGUGUAGCGGUGAAAUGCUUAGAUAUCACGAAGAACUCCGAUUGCGAAGGCAGUUCACUGGACUGCAACUGACACUGAGGCUCGAAAGUGUGGGUAUCAAACAGGAUUAGAUACCCCAGUAGUC